rnacentral:rRNA from 1 species
AGUGAACGCUGGCGGUAGACCUAACACAUGCAAGUCGAACGGCAGCACAGUAAGAGCUUGCUCUUACGGGUGGCGAGUGGCGGACGGGUGAGGAAUACAUCGGAAUCUACUUUUUCGUGGGGGAUAACGUAGGGAAACUUACGCUAAUACCGCAUACGACCUACGGGUGAAAGCAGGGGAUCUUCGGACCUUGCGCGAUUGAAUGAGCCGAUGUCGGAUUAGCUAGUUGGCGGGGUAAAGGCCCACCAAGGCGACGAUCCGUAGCUGGUCUGAUAGGAUGAUCAGCCACAAUGGAACUGAGACACGGUCAAGACUCCUACAGGAGGCAGCAGUGGGGAAUAUUGGACAAUGGGCGCAAGCCUGAUCCAGCCAUACCGCGUGGAUGAAGAAGGCCUUCGGGUUGUAAAGCCCUUUUGUUGGGAAAGAAAAGCAGCAGGUUAAUACCCCGCUGUUCUGACGGUACCCAAAGAAUAAGCACCGGCUAACUUCGUG